UUCUAUUCUGUGUGGCUACCCUAGCUGAUAUUUCCUGGUAUUUUGUGAUAUUUCCUGGUCGAGGUCAAGUAGUAUCGCCUGCUGCUUCAUAUUUGGAAAAUUGCAAGUCAAAAGGUGUGGAAACAUUUCCUCCCCUAACAUUUUUUCUUUCCAAACACUGUUGGCCAUCUUUCAUGUACUAUGUAAGAAAAAUCUGCAUACAUUAUGCUAAUUUUCAUGAUUGUGAUUUUUUGGGGAAAAAUUGUGAGUUCCUUUGGAGACAAACUUUUUUUUCCCUUGAAGCCCUAUCUCUAGGGAUUACACUGAUUGAUUGUUUCUUUUCUUGUGUACAUUGUUUGUGAAUUAUCAAUAAAAUAGUAAUGUACCAUAGCAAUUCCUGGAAUAGUUUGAAGCCUACAAAGGG